GGGAACCCCUUCUUCCCCGUAGGGGAGUUCAUCCCCUAAAGGGGAACUAAAGGGGUUCCCCUUUAGUUCAUCACCUUUAGGGGAACUAAAGUUCCCCUUUAGGGGAAGAAGAAGAACACUAAAGAAGACAACCCUUCGGUUCAUCCCCUAAAGGGUAACAAACUUGACGAGACCAAAGGGGGACAACCAAAGGGGAAACCGAAGGUUUGUCAUCCCCCAAAGAAGACGAUAACCGAAGGGGUUCCCCUUUAGUUCCCCUUUAGUUCUUCCCCUUCGUCUCCGUCCCCUUUAGUUCCCCGUAGGGGAUGAAGAAGGGGAACACCCCUUCGUCUUCCCCAAAGGGGAACCUUCUUCAUCCCCUUUAGGGGAACUAAAGGGGACUCCGUCCCCUUUAGUUCCCCUAAAGGGGAUGAAGAAGUUCCCCUUCGGGGAGGAACACACUAAAGGGGAAGAAGAAGACGAAGACAAGGAAGCCAAACUAGGGGAUCCACGUGAGAGCACGAGUCAACGAGUAGCUAACGUAGUUGUCUUCUUCUUCCCCUUUAGUGUGUUCCUCCCCGAAGGGGAACUUCUUCAUCCCCUUUAGGGGAACUAAAGGGGACGGAGUCCCCUAAAGGGGAAGAAGGUUCCCCUUUGGGGAAGACGAAGGGGUUCCCCUUCGGGGAUGACUUCAUCCCCUAAAGGGGAACUAAAGGGGAUGAAAAGCUACCACAUAGACGGUCGCUCCAUAUGCGUAGCAUAGUCCAAAGGAACUACAAGCGCAAUUUGUGCGUUGUCCCCCUUCUUCCCCUUUAGUGUUACCCUUCGGGUAACACUAAAGGGGACGAAGACAAACGCAGGUGUCAUCUAUUACUUCCGGAUUGCCGAAACCAACCAUCCGGCUUUAAGCCGGAUUCUACAACGAACAUUAGAUCGGGCCCCUGGCCCGAUCUAAUGUUGUGGAAACUAAGCUACUAUCUACUUUGUAGCUUAUUUUCUUUAGGGUUAAAACACGCUGACACUUAGCGCAGGCGUCUAGUGUUACUACCGGACAAAGGCUACGUUCUACAACAUUGCUGCUGUUCUGCUGAAUUCUUUCCCCGAAGGGGAUGCCAACGGCCAACUACACAACGCGGAUCGAAGACCCAAAGGGAGUUUAAAAUAAACUACAUAAAAAAAAGCGCAGCUUGCGGCGCAGCGACCAACGCAGUACGCUCGGCUACCGGCUUUCAGCCUCGAUGCUUUGCAGCUUUACCU
rnacentral:lncRNA from 1 species